rnacentral:rRNA from 1 species
GACGAACGCUGGCGGCGUGCUUAACACAUGCAAGUCGAGCGGUAAGGCCCUUUCGGGGGUACGACGAGCGGCGAACGGGUGAGUAACACGUGGGUGACCUGCCCUUAGCUCUGGGAUAAGCCUGGGAAACUGGGUCUAAUACCGGAUAUGACUCCAUGACGCAUGUUGUGGGGUGGAAAGCCUUGUGCGGCUAGGGAUGGGCCUGCGGCCUAUCAGCUUGUUGGUGGGGUGANGGCCUACCAAGGCGACGACGGGUAGCCGGCCUGAGAGGGCGACCGGCCACACUGGGACUGAGACACGGCCCAGACUCCUACGGGAGGCAGCAGUGGGGAAUCUUGCGCAAUGGGCGAAAGCCUGACGCAGCGACGCCGCGUGGGGAGUGACGGCCUCGG